GACUUGGUAAGAACGGGGCUAACCCGCCUG
rnacentral:tRNA from 1 species